rnacentral:lncRNA from 1 species
UUACUAUAAAUUUCUCUUUUUAGUUUAUGUGAAGAGGGUAUUGACUAUUGAGUUCCAUUAAAUGAAGAAAGUUCAUAUAUCUGAGAAAUAAAUAAAAAUGCAUCUGCAAGUCAAGUGUAUAUUUUUGUAUUUGGGGUUUUAAGCCUUUUUUUUUUAAAAAAAGAGAGAGAUUAUUAAACUAGUAAGAGAAGGGUUUCUUACGUUCUGAGGUCGUCCGACGAUAGAAGCGACGGCUUUGGUGACUUCCGAGUAGAAGGGAUCGGUGUUAACGCCGUCGAAAUUGACGUUGGUUGUAAUGUAAAGACAAGGCAUUUUCUCACGCCCGUUUCUUGAUACCGUCAAGCUUUAAUUUCAAGAAUCUGAACAAGAACCAAAAGAGAGGAUUUUGUAUGGUGUUGAGGAGAGCUGUGGGAGAGAAACAUCUCACAUGGUCACUUAAAUAUAUAGGAACUAAAUUAUCGGGUACGAAGCAAUGAAAGAAAGAAAUGAUUUCUUAAAGAUGUGAACAAUGUUUGAAAAUAUAUCUUCGAAUUUCAAAUCUGACAACUUGACGUGACUCAAUCAAUUAACG